rnacentral:lncRNA from 1 species
GGAGGAGAUGCCAUGACCCUCAUUCUCACAAGCCUGCUCUUCUUUGGUGAGAUCUUAAGAGGGGGAGGAGAGACCCUAGUCUAGGAGAGAGACCCCAAUCCAUAGCCAUGCCUUAGUCAAUUAGGGCAUCCCAGGGGCUCAAGGAAAAGAAGAAGACCUGCUCAGGCUUCGGAGGCAAAUCUCUCACAGGGAACUCUCUUCCAGGGCUGAGCCUGGGCCCCAGGACCCGGGUGCAGGCAGAAAACCUACUCAAACCCAUCCUGUGGGCCGAGCCAGGUCCCGUGAUCACCUGGCAUAACCCCGUGACCAUCUGGUGUCAGGGCACCCUGGAGGCCCAGGGGUACCGUCUGGAUAAAGAGGGAAACUCAAUGUCGAGGCACAUAUUAAAAACACUGGAGUCUGAAAACAAGGUCAAACUCUCCAUCCCAUCCAUGAUGUGGGAACAUGCAGGGCGAUAUCACUGUUACUAUCAGAGCCCUGCAGGCUGGUCAGAGCCCAGCGACCCCCUGGAGCUGGUGGUGACAGCCUACAGCAGACCCACCCUGUCCG